rnacentral:lncRNA from 1 species
GCCUUUGAUCUGUGAAGCAUCCAUAGAUGUUGCUACAACCCACAUGGCUGGCCCACUCUUUCUGGUGCUAAGUAUCUGUCCCCUGGGGAAAUCCUGGUGAAAUCUAUGGCUUGACAAGGCUAUUGCUCAGUUUAACAAAGAUGGCAAAAGCAUCUCCUCCUACACUUCAUUCUUAAUUGAAGUCAUAUUCCACAGCAGGAGUGUCUGGUUUGUGGCCAGUGCAAUCACUCCUCCCCUUUUUCCAUAGCUGGAUUAAAAAUAUGGAUUGUUUAGAAAAGAGAAAUUCUAAAUGGAUUGUUUCAGUGAAAGUGAGCACCUCUCUAUAACCACUCUUCUCUUCCUAGGGCCUCCUUUCCUCACCAUUUGAGGGACAUUCAGCCAGUCUUGCUGGAGGGAGGUGAGCUUAGGGAGGUUCCCAGCUGAAAGGAGACAAUUUGUGUUCCCCAGGUUUACAUGAAGCCUGGCGAGGAACAAUAUUGCCAAAAUCUAACAAAAAUAUAUUUAGACAAGUUGCGUCACACUGGCUAUGCUAAGAUACAAGACUGUUGGAUUCCUGAUACCUAAAAGACUCUAUGAUGAGGAUCUUUCAAGUUUACAGACUUCAGGAAAAUACAAGCCCAGUUUUUCCAAGCUUCUCAGUUUCUUACAUCAUCAUAUGGGAAGCUGCAUUGGUCAUAGCGUUCAAGAGCCCUGCAAGGACCCAGCACGAUGAAAACAGGUCCAUCUUGUUGGCUUUUGUCAGGUAAAAACUGUACAAAGCUUGUCUCUUAUAGUGCUUUUAGCCUGUCAGUGACCAUAUUACUUCCAUGCACAAAGCAGUUUGUGCCUCUUUAGGUGCAGAGGUCAUUUUGCACACUGGGUGUAGCUCCUAAAAUGAGCCAGAGAAGAGGGGAUAUGAGCAUGGGGGAACCGCUUCAGGAACUGUAAGGGAACCACUCCCAGCUAGUUAAAAAAUUAUUUCCAUGUGAGCUAAUACAAUUCCUAAAUCUCUUAGUGGAAACAGAGUUCAGUAUUAUCUAGCUACAUCUGGAAAGGCUCUUAGAGUAAAAUUUUUAUAACAUGGUUAUUCUAGAAGAAAAGUGGAAGCUCUGUUAACUUUCAGUCUAGCUCCCUGAAUGCUCUCACAGCUCUCAGGGUACUUUCCCAGCUCUACUAGCACCUGAAUGAUAGGAACAAAUAUUUAGAUCCAGUUGAACACACCUUGCAGUUUUUAAUGAGUUUUCUGAGUAGCCAUAGUGAACAUGUUUCUCUCAUGGACAGAUGGUGUUUAUGUGAAGGUGUUAUGUGCAUGUGUUGGGCUAAAUGUGCCUUACAGAGAGCAUCAGAGUUCUGAAUGCCCACACUCUUCAUAUAAAAGCCUUUCUCAGGUUGCUUAUGAUUUCACAGCAAUACAGCUUGAGCUAGCACUGAAGAGUUUAUGAACACCUGAUGAACAGGGCAAAGAAAAUGCUGUAUCUGUGUCAAAGUGGGGGUGCAUGCAUGUGUGUACACAUUUUGUUCAGCACAGCCACAGUUUAGUGGAGGGAGCUGAGCACAAUCAGCUGUCAGUGAUAUCACUGACCACCAUAAAAAUUGUUUAAGACCAUGCAACUUCUCCAACUCUCCUCUUGAUUUUCUUAUAUAGCAACAUCUGAAAGGAGGUGUCAGGUGGGGAAGAAUGGGAGGGAUUUUCAGUUGUCAGAAAUACUAUUAAUUUUAGAAUUAUCAGGCAAAUUAUGACCUGGUGUUUCUUUUAUUUUUUUUUCUUACCUUCCUGAAGGAACUUCAGGCAGUCUAAGUGAGAUUUAUUCUGGGCAUAGUUACCCUUAUUCAAUCUAGUCCAGACAUGUACCUUUUUCUCCAAGUCUCUUCAUUCAGUCCCUCUGUAGGUCUCCACAUACUGUGGAAUUUUCCAGUGCAGACAGGGCUGUUGUUUUGAAUGUAAAAUAGUCUGGGAAAAACACACCCCAUUUUCAGUGGCUUCUCUCCAUGAUGAAUAAAUCUAUAGAGGAUAACA